rnacentral:rRNA from 1 species
UACGGGGGGGGCAAGCGUUGUUCGGAAUUACUGGGCGUAAAGGGCUCGUAGGCGGCCAACUAAGUCCGACGUGAAAUCCCCAGGCUUAACCUGGGAACUGCGUCGGAUACUGGAUGGCUUGAAUUCGGGAGAGGGAUGCAGAAUUCCAGGUGUAGCGGUGAAAUGCGUAGAUAUCUGGAGGAACACCGGUGGCGAAGGCGGCAUCCUGGACCGACACUGACGCUGAGGAGCGAAAGCCAGGGGAGCAAACGGG